GACGGGCCCCGCACAAGCAGCGGAGCGUGUGGUUUAAUUCGUUGCUACACGAAGAACCUUACCUGGGUUUGACAUAAUGGUGGUAGGGAUCCGAAAGGUGACCGACCUUCGGGGAGCCAUUUACAGGUGUUGCAUGGCUGUCGUCAGCUCGUGUCGUGAGAUGUUCGGUUAAGUCCGCUAACGAGCGCAACCCUCGCUGUGUGUUAUAUGUGUCACACAGGACUGCUGGUAUUAAGCCGGAGGAAGGUGGGACGACGUCAAGUCAGCAUGACCUUUAUAUCCAGGGCUACACACACGCUACAAUGGUCAGUACAAUGGGUUGCCAAGCCGCGAGGCGGAGCCAAUCCUAAAAAGCUGGCCUCAGUUCAGAUUGCAGUCUGAAACUCGACUGCAUGAAGUCGGAGUUGCUAGUAAACGCAGGUCAGCUAUACUGCGUUGAAUACGUUCCCGGGGCUU
rnacentral:rRNA from 1 species